AUGUCAAUAGACUCUGAAGAUGACAUGCCCAUUAUCACAGAGACGUCCAUUCAGCCUGAAAAUGACCUUAAGGAACCGCAGGCACCUCAGCCCCCUCCACCCCAGACCGAUGGAUUUCGUCCUCCCCUCCCUGACCAACCCUGUGUGGACCCCAUUAGUGAUCCACUUGUACCACCUAACCCUUCCGCCUACCCUAUCCAGGGCUCUAUCUCCACUGAUUAUGCAGCUCUGAAGUCUGCCAUCGCUCAAUAUAAAGCUGCCAGUCAGGAGAGCACCUCUAUGCCUGAAGUAGAGGACACCCUGGCCAGUUUCGGUGUGAACCCCCACCAGAGCUACCUGUGUUCCAGCUCGGCACAGUGGAGCCCUUACUCUGGUUCUCCCGCGUAUCAUAUGUCCUCGGCAUAUUCGUCUCCAGUUAGCGUGGCCUCCAGGGGAUCAGAUUACAGCCAAACUGUUGCUCCUCCUGGGACCCAAACUCCAACAAACACCUCCACCAUACCAGUUCCUCAACCACUCACCAUUCCCCUUUCCCUCCCUCAGCCCCCAGUUAGCUCAGUGGAGGUGCCUUCUAUUCCGGAAUCAGCCACCUCUCUUCAGCCGCCUGGACAGUCCUUACCCAUUCCUGACAGCGUGGGAGUGCCUGGGGUGGCAGCGGCAAGCACUGCUAACCAGUUAGGACUUGCUGGCUCUCAAACUGCUAAGAUAGGUGUAGAGUCUGCUUCCUCAUCCACUGCUUCUUCCUUGUCCUCUCUUCACACCACUUUUCCUUCCUAUCCAGAUACUACUCUUUUUCCAGCCCUCACCCCAAUUCCCCCUAUUCCACCGCUUUUCGGCUGGGGUCCUACAGCAGGAGCCCAGCAGGGUUACGCGGCUGGACAGAGUGGGGCAGGAUUCGGGGCUCUACCUUCCACCCAAGCUGAGGCCGCAAAGCCUGCUGAUAGAUCAUGGGUAGGAGCCACUGAGAGCGAAACCGCUCGUGGACAAGAGGAAGAAGGUGCCCCUACUUCAGCAACUUCUAAAGUUCUCCAACAGGAGGCUAGUGGAGAGAAAGGAGGUGCACUGGGUAGUUCAACCUCAUGUGGCCAAGGCAGCAGAACUCCAGUGAACUCUUCCUCUGAAAGUCGGGGCGGCAGUCAGGCCCCUCCCACCAGGGGCGGCACUGCCAGCAGAGGACUCUUACCCAUCCCUGGAGCCCCAAUGAGAGCCUUGUGCCGAGGAGGACACAACAAUAGCAUGUACAAUCCCAGAGGGGGACAUCCUGAUAUGAUGCGUGGUGGUUUCAGGGGUCGAGGAGUACCGCCACAUCCCAUGAGAUCUAGACCGGGUCGGGGUCACAUGAGAGGGGGCCCAUCCUGUAACUGGGGUUAUCCCCCUGGGAGGGGAGGGGGUGGUCGGUCAGACUACUAUUCGGACUACACCUAUAACUAA
ensembl:lncRNA